rnacentral:rRNA from 1 species
GACGAACGCUGGCGGCGUGCUUAACACAUGCAAGUCGAACGGAAAGGCCCUGCUUUUGUGGGGUGCUCGAGUGGCGAACGGGUGCGUAACACGUGAGUAACCUGCCCUUGACUUUGGGAUAACUUCAGGAAACUGGGGCUAAUACCGUAUAGGAGCUCCUGCUGCAUGGUGGGGGUUGGAACGUUUCGGCGGUCGGGGAUGGACUCGCGGCUUAUCAGCUUGUUGGUGGGGUAGUGGCUUACCAAGGCUUUGACGGGUAGCCGGCCUGAGAGGGUGACCGGCCUCAUUGGUACUGAGAUACGGCCCAGUCUCCUACGGGAGGCAGCAGUGGGGAGUAUUGCACAAUGGGCGGAAGCCUGAUGCAGCAACGCCGCGUGCGGGAUGACGGCCUUCGGGUUGUAAACCGCUUUCGCCUGUGACGAAGCGUGAGUGACGGUAAUGGGUAAAGAAGCACCGGCUAACUACGUG